UACGAAGGGGGCUAGCGUUGCUCGGAAUCACUGGGCGUAAAGCGCACGUAGGCGGCUUUUUAAGUCAGGGGUGAAAUCCUGGAGCUCAACUCCAGAACUGCCUUUGAUACUGAGAAGCUUGAGUCCGGGAGAGGUGAGUGGAACUGCGAGUGUAGAGGUGAAAUUCGUAGAUAUUCGCAAGAACACCAGUGGCGAAGGCGGCUCACUGGCCCGGUACGGACGCUGAGGUGCGAAAGCGGGGGGAGCAAACAGG
rnacentral:rRNA from 1 species